UACGAAGGGGGCUAGCGUUGUUCGGAAUUACUGGGCGUAAAGCGCGCGCAGGCGGUUCUUUAAGUCAGGGGUGAAAGCCCAGAGCUCAACUCUGGAAUUGCCUUUGAAACUAGAGAACUUGGGUACGGGAGAGGUGAGUGGAAUUCCGAGUGUAGAGGUGAAAUUCGUAGAUAUUCGGAAGAACACCAGUGGCGAAGGCGGCUCACUGGCCCGUUACCGACGCUCAGGCGCGACAGCGUGGGGAGCAAACGGG
rnacentral:rRNA from 1 species